rnacentral:tRNA from 1 species
AGGGAAGAAGCUUCGCAUAAAGCAAUUAGCUGUUACCUAAUAGAUAGUGAUUAUAUCUCACCUACCCUA